rnacentral:rRNA from 1 species
UACGUAGGGACCAAGCGUUGUUCGGAUUUACUGGGCGUAAAGAGCGCGCAGGCGGUCGUUCAAGUCGCGUGUGAAAGCCCCCGGCUCAACUGGGGAGGGUCACGCGAUACUGAUCGACUCGAAGGCAGGAGAGGGUAGUGGAAUUCCCGGUGUAGUGGUGAAAUGCGUAGAUAUCGGGAGGAACACCAGUGGCGAAGGCGACUACCUGGCCUGUCCUUGACGCUGAGGCGCGAAAGCUAGGGGAGCAAACGGG